UACGCAGGGGGCUAGCGUUGCUCGGAAUCACUGGGCGUAAAGGGUGCGUAGGCGGGUCUUUAAGUCAGGGGUGAAAUCCUGGAGCUCAACUCCAGAACUGCCUUUGAUACUGAAGAUCUUGAGUUCGGGAGAGGUGAGUGGAACUGCGAGUGUAGAGGUGAAAUUCGUAGAUAUUCGCAAGAACACCAGUGGCGAAGGCGGCGCACUGGCCCGAUACUGACGCUGAGGCACGAAAGCGUGGGGAGCAAACAGG
rnacentral:rRNA from 1 species